rnacentral:rRNA from 1 species
AACGAACGCUGGCGGCAUGCCUAACACAUGCAAGUCGAACGCUUGUCCGGCUUUGGCCGGGCGGGAGUGGCGCACGGGUGAGUAGCGCGUGGGAACCUGCCCUGUUGUGGGGGAUAACCGAGGGAAACUUCGGCUAAUACCGCAUGCGCCCGGGCAACCGGGGAAAGAUUUAUCGCAGCAGGAGGGGCCCGCGUCGGAUUAGCUAGUUGGUGGGGUAACGGCCUACCAAGGCAGCGAUCCGUAGCUGGUCUGAGAGGAUGAUCAGCCACA